UGAGUAACGCGUGAGGAACCUGCCUUCCAGAGGGGGACAACAGUUGGGAAAACGACUGCUAAUACCGCAUGGUGUGUUUCGAUGGCAUCAUCGAGACACCAAAGAUUUAUCGCUGGAAGAUGGCCUCGCGUCUGAUUAGCUAGUAGGGCGGGUAACGGCCCACCUAGGCGACGAUCAGUAGCCGGACUGAGAGGUUGACCGGCCACAUUGGGACUGAGAUACGGCCCAGACUCCUACGGGAGGCAGCAG
rnacentral:rRNA from 1 species